CCGACUUUGCGUAUUACCUCUAAGUUCUUUCGGUCGGUUUUAUGAUCCCUGACUUUGCGUAUUAGCUCUUAGUUCUUUCGGUCCGUUUUGAUGAUCCCCGACUUUGCCUAUUACCUCUAAGUUCUUUCGGUCGGUUUUAUGAUCCCUGACUUUGCGUAUUAGCUCUAAGUUCUUUCGUCCCUUUUUAAGAUCCCCGACUUUGCAUAUUAGCUCUAAGUUC
rnacentral:lncRNA from 1 species